CCCCUCGUAGGGUCGCAACUGGAGAGUUUCCAGUACUCUACUAGUCUCAACUAUGGGAGGGAGAGUCAAGCAGAGGUCUCCCCAUUCCAUUCCUAGUUUGGGCAGUGGCUAGAGAGUGGAAGGCAAUCAGCUACAAGU